rnacentral:lncRNA from 1 species
UCUCCACUCAAUCUAUGUGGUUCAAGAAUGGGCAACUGACCCAAGUCUGGGCAAUCAGAGAACAACAUCCCCUGGCCCAAGUGACCACCACACAAAUGGACACAGUUAGGCCAAUGGAGACUCAAUUCUGGUUCUUUGGACUGAGUGGAAAAGAGAAACUCUCCUUCCUCUUUCCUUGGCUGAGAGGAUAGAAAACAGACCUGCAUGCACAUCAGUGAAGAUGGCCUCCAGUUGUGGUGGCCUGAAAGCCGCCUCUCCUUCUGCCUUCUACCCUCUACCCUGCAGCAGAGAAUGGUCAGACCUCCAGCCAGAGGGCAGCCAGCAAAGACAGCAGCAGCCUUGAUGUCACCUAUGUGUCCAGCUGAAGGGUCUGCUUCCUGUCAUCAUUCUCACUUCAGGCCCUGGCUGAGGAGGAAGCCACUCUCUGGAGCAUUACCAGCCAACAAGAUAGAGGGAAAGGUGUGGAGAAGCGUGUCCGCUUCUGAGAGUUUCUGCCCAGAAGUGACACAGAUCCCUCCAUUAUGUUACAGAAGUCCAAGGCAGGCUUCCAGGGGACUAGAAAG